AUUGAACGCUGGCGGCAUGCCUUACACAUGCAAGUCGAACGGUAACGCGGGGCAACCUGGCGACGAGUGGCGAACGGGUGAGUAAUGUAUCGGAACGUGCCCAGUUGUGGGGGAUAACUGCUCGAAAGAGCAGCUAAUACCGCAUACGACCUGAGGGUGAAAGCGGGGGAUCGCAAGACCUCGCGCAAUUGGAGCGGCCGAUAUCAGAUUAGGUAGUUGGUGGGGUAAAGGCCUACCAAGCCGACGAUCUGUAGCUGGUCUGAGAGGACGACCAGCCACACUGGGACUGAGACACGGCCCAGACUCCUACGGGAGGCAGCAGUGGGGAAUUUUGGACAAUGGGGGCAACCCUGAUCCAGCCAUGCCGCGUGCGGGAAGAAGGCCUUCGGGUUGUAAACCGCUUUUGUCAGGGAAGAAAAGACUCCUACUAAUACUGGGGGUUCAUGACGGUACCUAAAGAAUAAGCACCGGCUAACUACGUGCCAGCAGCCGCCGCCG
rnacentral:rRNA from 1 species